rnacentral:lncRNA from 1 species
GUCACCACUCCCUUCCCCUCCAGAAAUGUUAAAUGGAAACUACUGCAUUGGAUUUAUCAACAAACUUAGAUUUAGCUGAAGAAAGAAUCAACUUACUAAAGCUAAAUCAACAGAACAUAAAAAGAAAUAAAGCAUUAAAAGAAGUGAGAGAAAAGUUAAAAAAAUAAGGGAGAAAAAAGAGGGAAGACAGAAUAGAGCCUCUUAGAGCUGUGGAGCUGUAUCAGUACUCUAAUAUGGAUAUAAUUUGAAACCUAGAAGUAAAAGAGAAUUGUCCAGAAGAAUUACCUGAAGGGACACUUGCUGCAAAUUAUCCAAAAAUUAAUAAAAUACAGUAAGCAACUAAUAAAAAACAAAUAGAUCCAUGUAUGUCAGAGAAUCUGAGUGGGGUUAACAACAACAAAUAUGAACCUCCCUAAUUCUAGAAACACCAGAGUCAAGCUGCAGAAAUACUAGAGAUAUAGGAGUCUUUAUGGCAGGUGCUAGCUGUAAUUUAUGCCAACAACAUUACAGAGGAACAGAUAUAAGAAAAGAGCAGACUUCUUGUCAGAGAUUAUGAAGUCAUGUAACAGCGGAACAACAUCUUUACCAAAAGACUAAGGGGUGGGGGGGCACGUUAAACUCAAUACAAAGUUUCAUACCCAUCAAAGUAUCCUUCAAAAAUAGCGCAAAAUAAAGAACUUUGCAGGCAAUAAAUAACUCAGGGAAUUUACUGUCAGGAAAUCUACACUCUAAGAAAUGUUAAAGGAUGCUUAGGCAAAGGAUUGUGAAAUGGCAGUUUGGAUCCACACAAAGAAAUGAAGGAACUAUGAAAUGGUGAAACUUAAGUUAAAUGCAAGCCAUAUUGAUGCAAACCAGGUACCCCUCACCAUAAUUGUAACAUACAAGCUUCUCCAGGAACCCCCACCAUAAUUAAGCUUCUUGUCAGCAAGAUCUUACUAAGGGUAUCAGUGGGAUUUCACAGGAGUUCUGUGGAGAGCUCAAUGUGGUUUGAAGCUUCCUCUUUCUUAUAAAUGCCAUGUUUGCAGACAAAAGAUAUGUAGAUUCUGUCUCAAAGAGAGCUUAUUAUAAAAAAAAAAUACUAUCUCUUUUUUUUUGAAUAUUUUUGUAGUUGUAGGUGGACAGAAUGCCUUUAUUUUAUUGUAUUUAUUUUUAUAUGGUGCUGAGGAUCAAACCCAGUGCCUUAUGCAUGCCAGGCAAGUGCUCUGCUGCUAAGCUAUAGCCCCAGCCCCCCAUCUCUUUUUUCCUUGGCAAAAACGUUUGAAACCUCUGUCUGACCUGAAAUAUAGGACCAAGAGUAACUGUAAUAUACCCACCCACUGUCACGUAACCACUCCAUAGAGUAUAAAUCUAAAAGAAUUUCUAGACCUGGGGUGCAGAGAAUUUUAGGCCUUAGCCCCUCUGGACUGCUACAGUGUAAUUAAACUUGCUUCCUGAAUAUUCCUCUGGUAUCCAGCCUCAUCUGUCCUACAUCAAUAAUUUCACUUAUUUUUAAUUAAUUCAAAUGGUAAUUAAUUAUUCAAAAACAGUAUUUAUUAUGGGUUUAUAAUAUAAGAAGUAAAAUAUAUGGCAACAUAAUACCAAAC